ensembl:snRNA U6 U6 spliceosomal RNA
GUGCUUGCUUUAGCAGCACAUAUACUAAAAUUGGAGCAGUACAGAGAUUAGCAUGGCCCUGGCAAAGGGAUGACAUGCAAGUUCGUGAAACAUUUCAUAUGUUU